rnacentral:rRNA from 1 species
CGCGUAGGCGGCCUUCUAAGUCGAACGUGAAAUCCCCGGGCUCAACCCGGGAACUGCGUCCGAUACUGGAAGGCUUGAAUCCGGGAGAGGGAUGCGGAAUUCCAGGUGUAGCGGUGAAAUGCGUAGAUAUCUGGAGGAGCACCGGUGGCGAAGGCGGCAUCCUGGACCGGUAUUGACGCUGAGGCGCGAAAGCCAGGGGAGCAAACG